rnacentral:rRNA from 1 species
CGGAGAAGGCUAUGUCAUCCGGGCGACGGUUGUCCCGGUUUAAGCGUGUAGGUGGGUAACUUUGGUAAAUCCGGGUUGCUAUUAAACACUGAGGCGUGAUGACGAGGUACUACGGUACUGAAGUGACAGAUGCCCAGCUGCCAGGAAAAGCCUCUAAGCAUCAGGUAACAUUGAAUCGUACCCCAAACCGACACAGGUGGUCAGGUAGAGAAUACCAAGGCGCUUGAGAGAACUCGGGUGAAGGAACUAGGCAAAAUGGUGCCGUAACUUCGGGAGAAGGCACGCUGUGCGAGGUGUAGGGACUUGCUCCUGAAGCUUUGCGCAGUCGCAGAUAC